AACGAACGCUGGCGGCAGGCUUAACACAUGCAAGUCGAACGCAUCGCAAGAUGAGUGGCAGACGGGUGAGGAACACGUGGGAACAUCCCUUUCAGUUCGGAAUAACUCAGGGAAACUUGAGCUAAUACCGGAUACGUCCGUGAGGAGAAAGAUUUAUCGCUGAAAGAUUGGCCCGCGUCUGAUUAGCUAGUUGGUGAGGUAAUGGCUCACCAAGGCUACGAUCAGUAGCUGAUCUGAGAGGAUGAUCAGCCACAUUGGGACUGAGACACGGCCCAAACUCCUAUGGGAGGCGGCAGUGGGGAAUAUUGGACAAUGGGCGCAAGCCUGAUCCAGCCAUGCCGCGUGAGUGAUGAAGGCCUUCGGGUUGUAAAGCUCUUUUGUCCGGGAAGAUAAUGACUGUACCGGAAGAAUAAGCCCCGGCAAACUUCGUGCCAGCCGCCGCCGUAA
rnacentral:rRNA from 1 species